GAUGAACGCUGGCGGCGUGCCUAAUACAUGCAAGUCGAGCGAACGGACGAGAAGCUUGCUCCUCUGAUGUUAGCGGCGGACGGGUGAGUAACACGUGGAUAACCUACCUAUAAGACUGGGAUAACUUCGGGAAACCGGAGCUAAUACCGGAUAAUAUUUUGAACCGCAUGGUUCAAAAGUGAAAGACGGUCUUGCUGUCACUUAUAGAUGGAUCCGCGCUGCAUUAGCUAGUUGGUAAGGUAACGGCUUACCAAGGCAACGAUGCAUAGCCGACCUGAGAGGGGGAUCGGCCACACGGGAACUGAGACACGGUCCAGACUCCUACGGGAGGCAGCAGUAGGGAAUCUUCCGCAAUGGGCGAAAGCCUGACGGAGCAACGCCGCGUGAGUGAUGAGGGUCUUCGGAUCGUAAAACUCUGUUUUUAGGGAAGAACAUAUGUGUAAGUAACUGUGCACAUCUUGACGGUACCUAAUCAGAAAGCCACGGCUAACUACGUG
rnacentral:rRNA from 1 species